rnacentral:rRNA from 1 species
GACGAACGCUGGCGGCGUGCUUAACACAUGCAAGUCGAACGGAAAGGCCCUGCUUUUGUGGGGUGCUCGAGUGGCGAACGGGUGAGUAACACGUGAGUAACCUGCCCUUGACUUUGGGAUAACUUCAGGAAACUGGGGCUAAUACCGGAUAGGAGCUCCUGCUGCAUGGUGGGGGUUGGAAAGUUUCGGCGGUUGGGGAUGGACUCGAGGCUUAUCAGCUUGUUGGUGGGGUAGUGGCUUACCAAGGCUUUGACGGGUAGCCGGCCUGGGAGGGUGACCGGCCACAUUGGGACUGAGAUACGGCCCAGACUCCUACGGGAGGCAGCAGUGGGGAAUAUUGCAAAAUGGGCGGAAGCCUGAUGCAGCAACGCCGCGUGCGGGAAGACGGCCUUCGGGUUGUAAACCGCUUUCGCCUGUGACGAAGCGUGAGUGACGGUAAUGGGUAAAAAAGCACCGGCUAACUACGUG